rnacentral:rRNA from 1 species
ACGGCAGCGCGGGGCAACCUGGCGGCGAGUGGCGAACGGGUGAGUAAUAUAUCGGAACGUACCCUGGAGUGGGGGAUAACGUAGCGAAAGUUACGCUAAUACCGCAUACGAUCUAAGGAUGAAAGCAGGGGACCGCAAGGCCUUGUGCUCCUGGAGCGGCCGAUAUCUGAUUAGCUAGUUGGUAGGGUAAAAGCCUACCAAGGCAUCGAUCAGUAGCUGGUCUGAGAGGACGACCAGCCACACUGGAACUGAGACACGGUCCAGACUCCUACGGGAGGCAGCAGUGGGGAAUUUUGGACAAUGGGCGCAAGCCUGAUCCAGCAAUGCCGCGUGAGUGAAGAAGGCCUUCGGGUUGUAAAGCUCUUUUGUCAGGGAAGAAACGGUGAGGGCUAAUAUCCUUUGCUAAUGACGGUACCUGAAGAAUAAGCACCGGCUAACUACGUGCCAGCAGCCGCGGUAAUACGUAGGGUGCAAGCGUUAAUCGGAAUUACUGGGCGUAAAGCGUGCGCAGGCGGUUUUGUAAGUUUGUCGUGAAAUCCCCGGGCUCAACCUGGGAAUGGCGAUGAAGACUGCAAGGCUAGAAUCUGGCAGAGGGGGGUAGAAUUCCACGUGUAGCAGUGAAAUGCGUAGAGAUGUGGAGGAACACCGAUGGCGAAGGCAGCCCCCUGGGUCAAGAUUGACGCUCAUGCACGAAAGCGUGGGGAGCAAACAGGAUUAGAUACCCUGGUAGUCCACGCCCUAAACGAUGUCUACUAGUUGUCGGGUUUUAAUU